CCAUAGGUUAACCGGUGUAUUUUAUUCCCCUUUCUCACUAUUAGAGACGAGUAAAGAAUCAGAGAGAACUAGAGAAGAUUGUCAGAACAUUACAAAAGUUUACCAGUGCGCAACGCUCACUAUUUUAUUACUUGUCAAGUUGUCACUCACUAACGGACAUGCGAUAUAUCAGUAUGAAAUAGGUUUUGUGUGAAAUGUAUUAUUCUGUAUUCUAUAUUAUUGUACGAAUGUUUUAUACAAGUGAAAGUUUACUGUUUAGUUCUAACUAGGGGUAAAUAUGUAAUUUACGAUAAUUUGAGCAAUAAUUAAACAAAUGCGACAUUGAACAGAUUUCCACAAGAUAAAGCAUCGUGAUUAAAUAGUGGGUUAAACUAAUAGGUCUGGAAGGAUAGAAACUAAGCAAUAGCAGUUUUAUGUGUUCUGCUCAUUUCCCUAAAACCAGUUUCGUAGUGUACCGCAAUAAUAUGAAACGUGAUUGUUUUCAGAUAAUAAUGAACAUAUUUUUGCGUCAUCUUCAACAAUAGAAAAAAUUCCUUAACCUGAAUAUUUUGCUAUAAAAUGCAAUGACUUUCCUAUAAAUAUCAAUGAAAUACUUGAUAAGUAUUGGUUCCUAUAUAAUAUACCAAAGAAUACAAAUUCAAGAAAGAAGUAACAAUCCAAAACUGUGUAUGAGAUAAUUUCCCAUGCCCAUAACAAUAAGAACACUCCACAACAUACAAAAAAGAGUUUAGCCAAUCUCAAAAAAGAAAACUAUUCUCAACAACAAAAGAAAAUAAGACAUUAAAACAACGAGUUGGAUGCUUGAAAGAAAGUAGAUAUAGUGAAAGAUCUAAAACAAGAAAAACUUUUAGCUUUGAAGCAUGAAUAUGCUUCAUUACAAUUGUUCAACUGCAUGUAGAGAAAUAGAAACCAUAGUAACUACAGCUGACUUAGAACUACGUGGAUUCCUAAGAGAAGAGUGCAAAUGAAAUUGUAUCAAAAUUAAGGUUAGCUAUGUAUAUAUAAAUUUUAUUAUUUCAUUACAUGUAUAUUAUUAUUUAUUUAUUAUUUAUAUAAACAUUACUAUUUUCUUAAAUUGCCUGCGAACUACAUGUAAAUUAAUUGCUUAGAUCAGUGAUGUAUUAAUUCUAUUUCAUUGUACAUAAAAUAUUUCUACAUUGCUAUAUUUAAUUCUACAUUGUACUUCAUAUAUUAGAAUAACAUAGUAGAUUGACAUAAUAAAGUAACAUAAUAUAUUAGAAUAACAUUGUAUUGAUCCUGUUCAAUUGUACGUAAAAUAUAUCAAUUCUAUUCUACAUAUUUCUAUUCUUCAUAUAGUAAUAUAUUGUAAACUAUAAAAAAAGUAAUAAAUCUAUUUUAAUAAUA